UACCCUCAUAUAGUUAAGAAAGUUUUACAGAAGCUUAUUUUGAUACUUGUAUCAACAAAUGUAUAUAUAUAUUAAAUGCUGCAGAGCAAUGUUUUGUGUUCCAGCAAAGUUGAGAUGUAGAUUGCUAGCUGCAUUGGAGAAAACAGCCCAACUACAAUUGUAAUGCAGUAAUAAUCAACCUAUAAUAAAUCUUGAUAUAAAAUAAAUCAGUAAGCAAAUUGUGAAGGCUUUGAAAAGCCUUGGGGUGUGACUCCACAUUUUGCCUCAUUUGGCGAAUGAGAAUCUAUGAAUAUGCUAAUUCGCUUCUGCCUAUAUCCCCAGGGUCAGCGGUUGACAUUGGCCUUCAUUGUCCCUUCUGACUGCAAAACUGUCUCUGUCUCGCUACUGCCACAAUACAGCUCAGAAAAGGAAGACGACAACUAACGACAUCUACACCUCCAGAUGCAGGAAAAGGGCCUCCUGCAUCAUGAAGGACCCUACUCACCCAGCACACUCACUUCUUGUCCCGCUCCCCUCAGGUAGGAGGUUGCGGAGCAUCAAAUGCAGGACAACCAGAUUGAGAAACAGCUUCAUACCAGAAGCUGUGCGACUCUUAAACUCCCAUCAUUCUCCCUUAUUGCACUGCUCUUAGCUAUACACUUUUCCUACUUGUAAUAUUGUGCUCUUGCAGCGAUUUUAUAUUUUAUAUUUUAUACUUUUAUAUUUAUAUUUUUAUAUUUGGAUGUAACUGGGGCUGUGACUCUCAAUUUCGUUCCACCUCAUGUGAUACGUGAUGUGAAUGACAAUAAAGUAUCUUGAAUCUUGAA